UACGUAGGGUGCAAGCGUUGUCCGGAAUUAUUGGGCGUAAAGAGCUCGUAGGCGGUUUGUCGCGUCUGCUGUGAAAACCCGAGGCUCAACCUCGGGCCUGCAGUGGGUACGGGCAGCCUAGAGUGCGGUAGGGGAGAUUGGAAUUCCUGGUGUAGCGGUGGAAUGCGCAGAUAUCAGGAGGAACACCGGUGGCGAAGGCGGGUCUCUGGGCAGUAACUGACGCUGAGGAGCGAAAGCGUGGGGAGCGAACAGG
rnacentral:rRNA from 1 species